rnacentral:rRNA from 1 species
UCGAUUCCGGAGAGGGAGCCUGAGAAAUGGCUACCACUUCUACGGAAGGCAGCAGGCGCGCAAAUUACUCAAUCCCAAUACGGGGAAGUAGUGACAAUAAAUAUCAAUACCUAUCCUUUUUGGAGGGCAAUUGAAAUGAACACAAAUUAAAACUCUUAAUUAACACAAUUGGAGGGCAAGUCUGGUGCCAGCAGCCGCGGUAAUUCCAGCUCCAAUAGCAUAUACUAAAGUUGUUGCAGUUAAAAAGCUCGUAGUUGAAGUUUAAGGUUUACCGGGUUUAUGUCAUUUACCACUUCGUGGUUAAAUCGACACCGGUAUCUCUUUCUUAAUAGUUCAGCUUGUAUUAUCUUUGAUAGUGCUUGUUUGGACAUUUCACUGUGAGAAAAUUGUGGUGUUUAAAGCAGGCGUCUCGCCUGAUCUUUUGCAGCAUGGUAUGAUGAAACAUGACAUUUUACGCUAUUGGUUUGCGUUUAAAGUGUAAUGAUUAAUAGGGAUGGAUGGGGGUGUUCAUAUUGGG